GUAGGGGGCAAGCGUUGUCCGGAUUUAUUGGGCGUAAAGAGCGUGUAGGCGGCCAGACAGGUCCGUUGUGAAAACUCGAGGCUCAACCUCGAGACGCCGAUGGAAACCGUCUGGCUAGAGUCCGGAAGAGGAGAGUGGAAUUCCUGGUGUAGCGGUGAAAUGCGCAGAUAUCAGGAAGAACACCGGUGGCGAAGGCGGCUCUCUGGACCGAUACUGACGCUGAGGCGCGAAAGCGUGGGGAGCAAACAGGAUUAGAUACCCUGGUAGUCCACGCUGUAAACGAUGUGUGCUAGACGUUGGGGAGCCUAGCUCUUCGGUGUCGCAGCUAACGCUUUAAGCACACCGCCUGGGGAGUACGGCCGCAAGGUUA
rnacentral:rRNA from 1 species